rnacentral:misc_RNA from 2 species
AAGUCGUAACAAGGUUUCCGUAGGUGAACCUGCGGAAGGAUCAUUAACGUGUUCGUUCGGCCGUUCGGGUCGGCCCUGCACCGACGGAGACGUCGUGCUGCGGGCUCCCGGACGUGCCUUCCAAACCAAACCCCUGUGAACCUUUGGGAAGGUCGAGCCUUCGCCGGCAAAGCCGUCCCCUUUACAAACUCUGUAUCUCAUAGAAUGACCGCGGACAUCGUCUGCCUAAACACAUAACAACUUUCAACAACGGAUCUCUUGGCUCUC